UAGGGAAUCUUCGGCAAUGGACGAAAGUCUGACCGAGCAACGCCGCGUGAGUGAAGAAGGUUUUCGGAUCGUAAAACUCUGUUGUUAGAGAAGAACAAGGACGUUAGUAACUGAACGUCCCCUGACGGUAUUUAACCAGAAAGCCACGGCUAACUACGUGCCAGCAGCCGCGGUAAUACGUAGGUGGCAAGCGUUGUCCGGCUUUAUUGGGCGUAAAGCGAGCGCAGGCGGUUUCUUAAGUCUGAUGUGAAAGCCCCCGGCUCAACCGGGGAGGGUCAUUAGAAACUGGGAGACUUGAGUGCAGAAGAGGAGAGUGGAAUUCCAUGUGUAGCGGUGAAAUGCGUAGAUAUAUGGAGGAACACCAGUGGCGAAGGCGGCUCUCUGGUCUGUAACUGACGAUGAGGCUCGAAAGCGUGGGGAGCAAACAGG
rnacentral:rRNA from 1 species